rnacentral:misc_RNA from 1 species
UUGGUCUGAAACCGGGCAGAGAUCCUCCCCUUCGAUUUGAAAAAACCAUCGAGAUCAGCCCUCGUACCGAAUGAAAGUAGUCGAUGUCCGGGGGCAACCUUAAUUUGCCCUUGAAGAAGUUUCCCCACCCUGCAAUAGAACCCCUGGCACAGCGCCCGAUUUGGUCGCUCCUGCGAGGAGAUCGAACCCUUUACUCGGAGGGUAUGAAGCUGGUGUGGAGAACAAAUGACUGCGAAUAACUGGAGACGAGAGCGAUGACCAGAUGCCAGAUGAUGGUAGUACGAACGGAACGAAGAACGGAAUGAAACGGAACAGGAGGUGCCGGUGGUAUAAAAGAGAACAGAACACGAUAUGGAAGUGAAGAACUUCGAGACGGUUGCAGACUGUUCUUUACCCUUCUUAUGG